AAAGAAGGGAGAAAACCUACGGAGUGAGACAUCGUCUUCUUUUCUUAUCUCUGCUGAGAGUUGCACAUGUGCAACAAAGUCCGCCAGGGGGAAAACAUGGCGGCCGACCAGGGAACAAAACG